AUUGAACGCUAGCGGGAUGCUUUACACAUGCAAGUCGAACGGCAGCGCGGACUUCGGUCUGGCGGCGAGUGGCGAACGGGUGAGUAAUGUAUCGGAACGUCCCCAGUAGCGGGGGCUAACUACGCGAAAGCGUAGCUAAUACCGCAUUCGCCCUACCGGGGUACGCAGGGGAUCGUAAGACCUUCCACUAUUGCACCGGCCGAUGUCGGAUUAGCUAGUUGGUGAGGUAACGGCUCACCAAGGCGACGAUCCGUAGCUGGUUUGAGAGGACGACCAGCCACACUGGGACUGAGACACGGCCCAGACUCCUACGGGAGGCAGCAGUGGGGAAUUUUGGACAAUGGGGGCAACCCUGAUCCAGCCAUCCCGCGUGGGCGAUGAAGGCCUUCGGGUUGUAAAGCCCUUUUGGCAGGAAAGAAACGUCGCGGGCUAAUACCCCGUGGAACUGACGGUACCUGCAGAAUAAGCACCGGCUAACUACGUG
rnacentral:rRNA from 1 species